CCUACGGGUGGCAGCAGUGGGGAAUAUUGCACAAUGGGGGAAACCCUGAUGCAGCGACGCCGCGUGAGUGAAGAAGUAUUUCGGUAUGUAAAGCUCUAUCAGCAGGGAAGAAAAUGACGGUACCUGAUUAAGAAGCCCCGGCAAACUACGUGCCAGCAGCCGCGGUAAUACGUAGGGGGCAAGCGUUAUCCGGUUUUACUGGGUUAAAAGGGAGCGUAGACGGCGGCACAAGUCUGGGGUAAAUGCCCGGGGCUAAACCCGGGAACGGCUUGGAAAAUGGUGAAGUAGGGGUCGAGAGGAGUAAGUGGAAUUCCUAGUGUAGCGGUGAAAUGCGUAGAUAUUAGGAGGAACACCAGUGGCGAAGGCGGCUUACUGGACUGUAACUGACGUUGAGGCUCGAAAGCGUGGGGAGCAAACAGGAUUAGAUACCCCAGUAGUC
rnacentral:rRNA from 1 species